GUUCGUGCCCUCGGAGCAGGUGAGGUGCGGACGGGCGGAGCUGGGCUCGGAGCCGGGCUCGGGGCCUGCCGGGCGGGCAGCGGGGAGGCGCAGGCCCGGCUUGCCGAGCAGAGCGCCCGUACCAGUGAACGAGCUAAAGCGCUCGCUCCCCCAGCUUGGCAGUGGUAGCGGCCGCCGGGCCUGCCUGGGCCGCGCGGGUCGGGCCGCACCAUUGAAGGGGCGGGGGGGGGCCGCGGCCUCACGGCACGUGGCGGCUCACGGCCCUUGUCCCUCAGGCCACCAUGGAGGCGACACCGGCACCGCGACCCCGCCGGCAGCGCCGGGACCCCUCCAGGGCUGCGGAAACUCCUUCCCGCAAAAAGAAGAAUAAGGAUAAUAAUUUACUUCUUGUCUUGACGUAAAGAAUAAGAACCUGGGCUUCCCACGUGGAUGUGACACAAGAGGACAGGGGACAGGUGGGGAGCUGGCCCUGAUGUGCAGGUAGAGCCUGCAGGUCUCUGCUGCCACGUGCUGGUUGUUGAUGAGCACCCACUGAAGUGACAGCUCUUCACGAGUCCUGUGGAGGGCACUGACACAGCAGAGCAGGACAGUGCUGGGUGGUGCUGCUGGAAACGUCUCUGAGGCAGAAGGACUCCAACAAAACACCUGAGCUUGAGGAUUUUGUGUAGACACAUUUUUCUGCCUGUUACAAAAGCAUGAGGAAGAGCUGUUCAUUUUCCAACUCCAUUUCAGAGAAGUGAGGCACAAAGGAGCUGCUGUGUUCCAGCAAGGAAGAACAUUGGUGUCGUGCAAGGAAAGUGUCACAGCAGUCUGCAGUGUUCCACAUCGCCUCAUUACAGAUAAGGAACUGGAGCUUGGAGCCAUGCUGAGAGCAGGCAGAGGAUUUGGUCAGCCAUUGGAUAAAGCAAUUUUCCUGAACUGUGUCAAAUCAGGAUCUGAGGACACCUCCUGAUGCUGAAAGACUGAAUUCUCAGGGGAUAAAAGGAGCUCAAAUUAGCCUCCAGCCGUGGGAUAUCCCUGAGAUCAUGGAUUUUGUGGGAAGUCCCAAGUGGACAGAGAACUGCUGUGGCUGAGAACAUCUAAAAUCAUGGUAGGAUUUAAAAAAAAAUAAAAUAAAAAAAAUCGGCUGUGGACUAACUGAGUUUCAGGAGCAAACAAAAUUUGGCAAUUCACCCAGAUGGAAUGACCAGAAUUGGAAUUGCCAAAUUCUCCAAUAUUUAGAGACAGGAAGUUCUUCCUUUGGGUUCAUCCUCAUUUUUUUAGUGAGUUUACACACACCCAGUGUGGGCACUGCUGUGGUUGCUCCUGAGCUGCUCCAGCUCCUCGGUCACAAAGGUUUGGAGCUUUAUAAACAGCACAGUUUGAAGCCUCUGUUCCACAGAGCUUGGGAAAAUCUCCCUCCUUAGAGAUUCCCAGGGUAAAGAGGAUUUUUAAAAUACAUAAAUUUCAAAAUAUGGAAUAUUAAAGCCCCUAUUUGAGCUUUCAAAUAAAUUCAUUAAAAAUUCCUAAGUCUUUGCUGUUAAAAAAGCACCAGUGGAGAUUAAUUAUUGUUCUCUCUUCUUGUUCCAAGAGCCUUCCCAGUUUUGCCAAGGUUUGCACUUUUCAUGUCAUCAACUCCAGACAUCCCUGCUGUAACAUCAUCCCUGUGCUACCCAAAUUCCAGCCUGUUCCUCCUGUAAACUCUUGCAUUUUGGGGGUUGGGAAGGGCAGGUUGCUCAGCCUGGAGCUCCUCACUCUGGCCCUGACAUGUGACAUCAAAAUUAACUUUAUUUUGGCCAUUUGUAGAUUAAUUGUGCCUGCUGGGAAUGCUCUGUGGGAAUCACAACCCUAAACAGCAUCUCCAAAAAAAAAUCCCCAAACAUUUGGGCUGUUCCUUGGAUUCAGCACAGGAAUUUUUAAGCAUCUUAAGUGCAGACCUGAAGGGAAAGCUAAAAUUGUCCCUGAAUCUGCCUGUGGCAGCAGGAUCCCCACAGUGACCUCCUGUGCUGCUCCAGGAAUAGCUCUGUGCUCUCACAGCUUCCCAAAUUCCCAAAUCCCCAAAUCCCUGCCUUUUCCCUGGCUCCACACCAAGCUCCAGGCCUGCCCCACCUCCAUCCCAGGCAGAAGCUGGGGGUGUUUGAUGGGAAAAGGGAAUUCUGUGCUCUGGGGACGGGCAGGGCUCAUGGAAGGAUCGCUGCCAUCAGGAAAGUCUGGAUCCAUAAAUCUUUCCCAGCAGAAGGAUAAAAGUCAGGAGCUGAGGUUUACAGUUCUUUACUAAACCUGUGGAUUCAUGGAAUGGUUUGGGCUGGGGAGGGAAGGGAAAGGUUCUUGCUCUGUUUCAGAACCAUCAUUUUCCUCCCCUUCUUUUUUUUUUUUUUUUUCCUUUUAUUUCCUGCUAAACAAAAUGCUAAAAAUAAGCACUUGGGAGCCAUCAAAAUGCUUUGCUGUAAUGAUAACUCUAUUUAAUUUAGUGAAAUAAACAAAAGUAAAUCUCUUGCUGUUGGAGAACUCCAUUUUCCUAUCCCAUCCUCCCCAAAAUAAAAUGUAUUUAUAUCAUCCUUGCAAUUAUACCAUUUGCUCCCAAACCUCUGAUUUUAUACAGAAAUUGUUGGAAUUUUUCCAACAAACUCUGCUCCAGAGGAAUAAGGAGCUGCAGCUGAUAGAACCUGGAUUUGCAGGAGAGGCAAUUUGAACAAAUGCCCAGAGAAAAACAAUCAGGAAU